rnacentral:rRNA from 1 species
AAAGCGAGCGGCGGAUGGGUGAGUAACACGUGGGGAACCUGCCCCUAAGUCUGGGAUACCAUUUGGAAACAGGUGCUAAUACCGGAUAAUAAAGCAGAUCGCAUGAUCAGCUUUUGAAAGGCGGCGUAAGCUGUCGCUAAGGGAUGGCCCCGCGGUGCAUUAGCUAGUUGGUAAGGUAACGGCUUACCAAGGCGACGAUGCAUAGCCGAGUUGAGAGACUGAUCGGCCACAUUGGGACUGAGACACGGCCCAAACUCCUACGGGAGGCAGCAGUAGGGAAUCUUCCACAAUGGACGCAAGUCUGAUGGAGCAACGCCGCGUGAGUGAAGAAGGUUUUCGGAUCGUAAAGCUCUGUUGUUGGUGAAGAAGGAUAGAGGUAGUAACUGGCCUUUAUUUGACGGUAAUCAACCAGAAAGUCACGGCUAACUACGUGCCAGCAGCCGCGGUAAUACGUAGGUGGCAAGCGUUGUCCGGAUUUAUUGGGCGUAAAGCGAGCGCAGGCGGAAAAAUAAGUCUAAUGUGAAAGCCCUCGGCUUAACCGAGGAACUGCAUCGGAAACUGUUUUUCUUGAGUGCAGAAGAGGAGAGUGGAACUCCAUGUGUAGCGGUGGAAUGCGUAGAUAUAUGGAAGAACACCAGUGGCGAAGGCGGCUCUCUGGUCUGCAACUGACGCUGAGGCUCGAAAGCAUGGGUAGCGAACAGGAUUUAGAUACCCUGGUAGUCCAUGCCGUAAACGAUGAGUGCUAAGUGUUUGGGAGGUUUUCCGCCUCUCAGUGCUGCAGCUAACGCAUUAAGCCACUCCGCCUGGGGAGUACGACCGCAAGGUUGAAA